UACGGGGGGGGCAAGCGUUGUUCGGAAUUACUGGGCGUAAAGGGCUCGUAGGCGGCCAACUAAGUCAGACGUGAAAUCCCUCGGCUUAACCGGGGAACUUCGUCUGAUACUGGAUGGCUUGAGUUUGGGAGAGGGACGCGGAAUUCCAGGUGUAGCGGUGAAAUGCGUAGAUAUCAGGAGGAACACCGGUGGCGAAGGCGGUUCUCUGGGCAUGUCCUGACGCUGAGGAGCGAAAGUGUGGGGAGCGAACAGG
rnacentral:rRNA from 1 species